ACUGUUGCUUUUAUUGGUUAUUUUUUGUGGUUUAAUUGUCAGAAAGUCAAUGUAGUAACUGGGAACUAAUGUUCUUUAGAUGUUUCCUAGAGGGAACGUUUUUGAGUGUUGCACGCUGGUAAAGACGGCUGUCAAUCUUUGUAUAUGCUGCUGUUAACGUUCUGUAAUGUGUACAUAUAAUACAAACCAUUACAUUACAUUACAUUGAUAUGAGCAGCAUACACAGAUGUUGGACCAUCAAUAAAUGUCUCAUUCUAAAGACUUUCCUCCUCUCCUGAUUCUCUGACCGGAAUCUGGUCCAUAUUUGGCCGCCUCAAUCAGCUGUUAUUAAAAUGUAGUGAGAUACAGCAUCAUUUCAUCGUCUAUAUGGUGGGACAACCUGCUAGACAGGUUGAAGACAUCUGUACCUACCUCAAAGAAGGCAUGGAGAGACACAUUAAAGAGUAUGUGAAUUGUGAAAUUGGUGAGUUGGGGAUUGCACAGACAAUGGAAGUUUGGCAAAAGCUACUUGGUGUCACACAUUGGUGUGAAAUUGUUUUUUGGACUUUAACACUUACACUGAACUACCUGAAAAACCUCAAGUGCACCUUUGACCUUUCAAAAAAUCCUAAUGGAACUGGACUUGAUACAACCAAGCAAUCACUGAAAGAUGCUUCAGUGAAUACCUGACAGACACGCUGACAUCCCCCUCAAAGUGGGUACAUUUUUUGUACAUUUAUAAGUGACGUUUUUAACAUUAAAGGAAUAUUGCACUUUCAUUAAACAAAAAUCCUGAUAAUUUACUGUCUGUCAUCCAAGAUGUUUGUCUUUUUUUGUUCAGUCGAGAAGAAAUUAAGUUUUUUGAGAAAAACAUUCCAGGAUUUUUCUUAAUUUAAUAGACCUUAUUGGACCUUAACAGUUUAGUUUCAAUGCAGUUUAAAAUUGCAGUUUCAAAGCAGCUUUAAAGGGCUCUAAACGAUCCCAACCGAGGCAUAAGGGUUUUAUCUAUCCAAAAGAUUAUCAUUUUUGGCAAGAAAACUUUUAAAACACAACUUCUUGGCUUGCAUUAUCCAUGUGAUACACAGUGCGACAUUGCGUACUAUGUAAUAACAUUGAAUGGUUACACAUCACAAAUGUGAAACGCACAUUUGUGGAACAUUUUAAAUAAUAAAUGGACCCAAAGACAGUAAUUAGUAUUAUUAGACAUACAACAACAUCUGAACGCUUCUCUUUCUCAUCGCUUGUAAACACUGGAGCGGUAGUUUCAGUUAUGUCAUGCUAGUGUGUCACACAGCUAGUGCAAAACGUUGUGAUUUAAAAGUCCUCUUUUAUUUUUAUUUUUGAAAAUGACAAUCGUUUAGCUAGAUAAGACCCUAGUGCCUUAUUUGGGAUAAUUUAGAGCCCUUUUAAAUCUGCAUUGAAACUGUAAACUUGAGGUCGAAUAAAGUCUUAAAUUGAGAAAAAUCCUGGAAUGUUUUACUCAAACUUUAUUUCUUCUUGACUGAACAAAGUAAAACAUAAACAUAUGGGUUUGGAAAAUUAUCGGGAUUUUUGUUUUAUUAAAUUGGAUAUUCCUUUAACAAUUUUGAAAGUUGAAAAGUUUUUUAAAAAUGUAAUUGAUGUAUAUCUAACAUGUAAUUAAAGAUGCAUGAAAAUUGUUAAUGGCACACAGCCACUCAAAACACUAAGCAAUGUGCCAUUUUUUACAUUCUAAAUUAUUAUUACAACAUGUCACAGAUUUCUGAAAAUGUUAAAGUAAUGUUGUUGUCCCUGAUUUAUGUCUACCUCGAGUUUUACAGGGUUUUUUGUAUUUCUGCAGCCUGUUAAAAUGUUUGCUCUUAUUUGUGGAAUGAGGUUGAUUGUGGCUGAAAUGUCUGAAACACACGUAUUUAUUUAUUUUUGCACUCAAUACGAGGUAAGCCAUGGCUGUCAUGCUAGUUGUUAGCUGCUCUUUUUUUGCUGCCUUAUGAGUAAUGCCUUGAAGUAUUAAAUAAAUUGAUAAAAUGUAAAACCAAGUGGUCUGGCUAUUCUUUUUUUUUUGUGUUUUUUUAUUAUAGCAUAUUGUGAUUUAGGAGGGUGAAUGGGGGAGGAAUAUAUAAAUGUAUAAAUGGUUUAUUAGUAAGAUACCUAAAUGUAAUGCAUUUUAAGUGAAUUGGGUUUAUUAAUAAAGAAUACAUAAUCCAUUUUUUAAUGCAUUUAAAACACAUUGGAUUAAGUAAAACUAUUACAUAAAUUUUAUUGGUUUCAUUUACAUAUAUCUAAAAAGUAUAUAUCAUAUAAAGUUUA